CGCGCCACCCCCGCGGAGGAGAGAGGCGAACUGCUGGGCUUUGCCAGGGGACCGAGUGGGCGCUGGGUGGGGGGCGUGUGUGCUAGGGACUCGGAUGGGGAGUGUUGCGAUUUGCAGGAGACUUGUGUGGGUUUAGACGGCAGAAGAGAGGAGCUUAAAGUGACCCAUUGGUUGAUGACAGGGGGCAAGUGAGGGAAAGCCUUGGGGACAAUUAAGGGCCUGCCCUGCUGGCAUUCGUCAGAGUCCUCACAGGUCCUUGCACACCUGGAGAAUCCUGGAAGAUCUGGGGCAGCCAUGGCCCACAGGCAAGACCUGGGCAUCGAAUCACUGGCCACAACCUUCCUUUCCAAGGCCUCUGUGGACCACAACUGUUGGCAUAGGCACCUGACUGGGAAGUGUGCUUUGGGCUGCAGGUGCAUUCUUCAGGAGAAAAAGAAUACUUUGGCCACAUGCAUCUGUCAUGUGUGCACACAGGAAGGUGUGCAGAUUAAGCAAAAGUGACAUGACUGAAUAAAAAUGAUUUUUUUUGUGUGCUGA